UCGGCAGCCAGCGCGCGACAUUGUCUUCUCGUCUCGUCUCGUCUCGUUUCGUGUUUCGUCUCGCGUCUCGCGCAUAGUGUUCGUGUCGUCGUCGUUUCCGCGAGUUCCCGGUACGCGAAAAAAAAAAAAAAAAACCCGAAAAACAAGCGUAUCACCGCGAAUACCGUGGUUACCGUGCGCGGUAAUAUCGCCCGUCUAUCGUCACCGAGUCCUGCUGCACGCGUGUUUCGUCGAUCGUGUCCGUCUCGUCGCGGUUUCCGAGGGAGUGCGUGAAUCGAACAGG